rnacentral:rRNA from 1 species
AAUAGAUACCCUGGUAGUCCAUGCCGUAAACGUUGGGAACUAGAUGUAGGGCCUGUUCCACGGGUUCUGUGUCGUAGCUAACGCAUUAAGUUCCCCGCCUGGGGAGUACGGCCGCAAGGCUAAAACUCAAAGGAAUUGACGGGGGCCCGCACAAGCGGCGGAGCAUGCGGAUUAAUUCGAUGCAACGCGAAGAACCUUACCAAGGCUUGACAUAUAGCAGAACACCGUAGAAAUACGGGACUCUUUGGACACUGUUAUACAGGUGGUGCAUGGUUGUCGUCAGCUCGUGUCGUGAGAUGUUCGGUUAAGUCCGGCAACGAGCGCAACCCUCGUCCUAUGUUGCCAGCACGUUAUGGUGGGAACUCAUGGGAUACUGCCGUGGUCAACACGGAGGAAGGUGGGGAUGACGUCAAAUCAUCAUGCCCCUUAUGUCUUGGGCUUCACGCAUGCUACAAUGGCCUAUCAAUGGGCUGCGAUACCGCGAGGUGGAGCGAAUCCCAAAAAGUCGGUCUCAGUUCGGAUUGGGGUCUGC